rnacentral:rRNA from 1 species
CCUACGGGUGACAGCAGUGGGGGAUAUUGCACAAUGGGGGGAACCCUGAUGCAGCGACGCCGCGUGGGUGAAGAAGCGCCUCGGCGCGUAAAGCCCUGUCAGCAGGGAAGAAAAUGACGGUACCUGAAGAAGAAGCACCGGCUAACUACGGGCCAGCAGCCGCGGGUAUACGGAGGGGGCAAGCGUUAUCCGGAUUUACUGGGGGUAAAGGGGGCGCAGACGGGGAUGCAAGCCAGGAGUGAAAGCCCGGGGCCCAACCCCGGGACUGCUCUUGAAACUGGGAGGCUGGAGUGCAGGAGGGGCAGGCGGAAUUCCUGGUGUAGCGGUGAAAUGCGUAGAUAUCAGGAGGAAAACCGGUGGCGAAGGCGGCCUGCUGGACUGCAACUGACGUUGAGGCGCGAAAGCGUGGGGAGCAAACAGGAUUAGAUACCCCAGUAGUC